GCCGGUGUAGCUCAGUCUGGGUAGAGCGCUAGACUCAUAAUCUAGAAGUCGCGUGUUCAAAUCACGCCACCGGCA
rnacentral:tRNA from 1 species